UUCCUGUCAUGUUGUAGGUACUCAGUAAGAUGUUUGCAAUCACUGCUAUAGUUUUUAAUCAGCAGCCAGUAUGGUGCCUGCCCAUAGUACAUUUGUGUACUUUUUUGUUCAGUGAAUGAAUACUUCCCACCUAUACUAAGGAUUCUGGAACACUUCAUUUCCCUUUUGUGGAGCAGAACAUUAAAUUAGGAACAAUACUAUGACAAAAGUGGGAAGAAAAAUAUUAAUGUAGCAAAAAUUAAAAUAUUUUAGUUGCUAUGUAAUGCCUCAAAAUUGACCCUGAAUGAAAUGAACGAUGAAGAAUGUAGAACCACAGCAGAGUAUAUGUAGGUGACUUAAGGAAAUAACCUUUCCUAGGAACAUAAAGACAUAUUGGAUUCUUGUAUAAAUUUCUUCAUAGAAUCCAGUGUACUUUACACUAUCCAUUUUUCAUAUAGCUUUUCAUUUGCGUUAUAAGGAAAUCUCAGACAUAAACAUAAUUGGAGUGAUAAAAGAACAUAUCUAUAAAUGUUGCCCAGCCAGGAAUAUCUGAGCAGUGGUACUUUAUACAGGACACCAAGACUUUAUUAUUAUUAUUAUUAUUAUUAUUUUGUCUUUUUGGGGCUGUACCUCUGUAGCUCUGAUUCGACCCCUAGCCUGGAAACUUCCAUAUGCCUCGGGUGUGGCCCUAAAAAGCAAAAUAACUAAAUAAAUACAUAAAUAAAUAACCAUUCUUCUGUCUACAAACAAGUUGCUUAGUCAUUUAACAAGUAUUCAUUGAGUACCUACUGUGUGUCAGGGGCUGUGCCAGGUACUGGAAUUACAAUAUAGAGAAGAUAGACUUUUUUUUUUAACUUUAUCAUAGGGGAAGACAAUUUAGGAAGAAUUAUCUGGUGUUUGUUGUUCUCCUUUCUUAACUGAAAAGCAUUGCUAUUAACUGCUUAAUAAACACUUUGUGGAAAGAGUAAUGGUAGUGAUUAUCACCUGAAGGAAAUGACUUAUGAAAACAAUUAUGUGACAGUUUUGGAGAAAACAGUGAGACUAUGAGAAUAGAUUAUUUUGAUUCACAAGUGUAACUUUUUUCAUCUGUAUGACCAAAGCUAUUUGUGUCCGGUAUAUAUGGUAAUAAUAAGCAUUCUCUAUGACAUCUUGUAGCCUGUAGCUUUUCUUGCAGGAAACUGGAAACAUGUCAGGAUGCCUUUCUGAACUCUGGCCUUGCUCCUAACUGGAGCCAUUGCACCAGGCUCUGAGAGGCAUUAGCACCAUACCAUUCAGAGGUGAGAAAAUCAAGAACUGUAGAGAAGUUUGGAGGAAGAGCAAGUACAUGGACUUCACAGUGAUGGUUGCAAUCAACGUAAGAAACAGAAGAAUAGAAAUGUGGCCUUGGGGGUAUACCCAGUAAUUUCUCCAAUUCUUCAGAUGUCAGCAGAUCUAUUACAGAUUUUGCAUUUAACAUGUCAGUCUGAUGGGUGUCUGUGACUGACAGAAGUGACUAGGGGUGUGGGGAGUGGCAAGUUACUCGCAGGAGCCAUGAAAACAGUGUAUAAAGUUGGAAUUGGGAGCACUAAGCCUGAAACUCUGUUUUUAUCAUUUUUAGUUCUAUGACUUUCAGCAAGUGUUUUAAAGUUCCCGAGGCUCCAUUUCUUCUGUGUAAGAUGGAGAUAAUAACCAUCUUAAAAGCUUUUAAAGUAGGGCUAAAUGAGUUAAUGACUUGGAAAAGGCCUUGCUUAGUGACUCAGUCCUCAACACUUUGAGAUUGUUUGAGUAAAGGUAGAUAGGAUUUUCUAGGCUGUGGUGAUUUUUCCAUUAUGCUUUUUAGUAUAUAGUUGUCUAGCUCACAUUUAGUGAGCACUUAAUUUGUUUCAUGCAUUGUUUUGUGAGUUUCAUCUUAUGACUUGUUGACUCCUCAAUGACUAUGUGAGGUAGAUCUUUUACUUUCCUUUCACAAGUGAGAACUCUGGGGUCGAGUUUCGUGACAGAGCCCAAAUUUGAACCUGAACAUGUGGCUUGUCCCUGGAGCUUUCUUAACCCUGCUUCUAGAUGGUGAAGUCACUCUAUCCACAUUAGGGCAGAAGGAACAAAAGAAAAUACUAUGUAGUGAGGGGUAAUCUCUACAUACUAAAAAGAUAAACUCAUUUUAACUUAUUCACCCAUUUGGAAAAGGAUUGAAAUGACCAUUUGUCUUAUCUUUGAUUUGUACAUUGUUUCUUUCAAUUUUGAAUAAUUAAUUCUGAUACAGAGUAAAAGUUGUAGUGAUUUCCAAUCAAAUCUUUUCUCUUAAGCUAAGCAGUCUUUCUCAUUUGUUGUUUCCUCUUAUUCUUUUGUGUUUUUGUAUGGGAUCCUGAAAUUGGAUGUGUUUAUUGUGUAGACCACAAAGGAUACCUAGGGAAGGUAAAGCAGCCUUAACGAGAGGAUUAAGCAAGUCAAGAGCCAUAUGUGAUAAUCCACCUCUUCAAAAAAUAGGCAUCCUGGCCUUUAUGAUUGGUUUAUGAUAGAAGACCUCCCUGUUUCACUCACACCAUGCUAAGUUAUGGUUUUCCUUACAAGCCUUAGAAUAUUUAUUUUCUUCUUCUUAGAAAAGCUGGGAUAUUUUUCUCAGGUUUGUUGAUAUCUGCUUGUAUCUGAGUAAAUGGACUCUAGAUCUUUCUGUGCUGAGAGUUUUCUGAAGAAAAUGGGUACAUGAACAAAGGACAGGUAUUUUGAUUUCCAUAAUAAAUUCUUUGUUGUAAUUUUCUAAAGAGAGGCAAAACUGUUUUUAUUUGUUUGUUUUUUUCUUUAGGGCCACACACCUGGCACAUGGAAGUUCCCAGGCUAGAGGUCAGGUUCCCAGCCACAGCCACAGCCACAGCCACAGCCACACCAGAUCCCAGCCACAUUUGCAACUUAUGCUGCAGUUUGCCCCGGCAACACUGGAUCCUUAACCCAUUGAGCAAGGCCAGGAAUCGAACCCAGAUCCUCAUGGAUACUUGUCAGGUUCAUUACUCCUGAGCCACAACAGAAACUCCCAAAAUUGGUUUUGAAUUUUGGGUGCGUGCUUUGUGGAUUAUUUAGAUCAGAGAUUACGCGAUUUAUCAAUUAUCCUAAGAUUUGCAGGGCGAAUACUCCUUCACCCCCUGUUCCUUUAGCCUUCAUUCGUUUUUUGGUUCAAUGGAUUGAUUUUGUUUUUAGAUAUGACAGUGAGACUUAAUGAGAAGGAUAAUGUGGUGGAAUCAGAAGUGACUCCUCUUUCUCUUCUCUUAUUAUUACUGCUUUAUAAUAAUAAUAAUAAUAAUAAUUGGCAGUGAUAGUAGCUGUAACAAAAAUAACUACAGUGUGGUGAUCAUGUUUUACGUGUCACCUGAAUUAUGUAAUAUAAUCAUUAUAUAGUUACCCACAGAAGUAAUAAGUGUAAGGGUUAAGUAGGUAUAUUAUAUCAUCAUUUAAAUGGUGAAGAAGUUGAGGUUAAAUACACUGAAUAAUUCUCCAGUCAGCUAGCAAGUACGUGGCAGAGCUAAAAUCCAAACCCAUGACUGCCUCCUUCCUAUCUCAUAUUCUACUACUGCUAUUACCUCUUCAUUUGAAAAAAAAAAAAAAAAA
rnacentral:lncRNA from 1 species